ANAUGCCGCGUGAGUGAAGAACGCUUCGGUGUUGUAAAGCUCUUUUGUCAGGGAAGAAACACCGGCUCUAACACAGUCCGGGAAUGACGGUACCUGAAGAAUAAGCACCGGCUAACUACGUGCCAGCAGCCGCGGUAAUACGUAGGGUGCGAGCGUUAAUCGGAAUUACUGGGCGUAAAGCGUGCGCAGGCGGUUAUACAAGACAGGCGUGAAAUCCCCGGGCUUAACCUGGGAAUGGCGCCUGUGACUGUAUAGCUAGAGUGUGUCAGAGGGGGGUAGAAUUCCACGUGUAGCAGUGAAAUGCGUAGAUAUGUGGAGGAAUACCAAUGGCGAAGGCAGCCCCCUGGGAUAACACUGACGCUCAUGCACGAAAGCGUGGGGAGCAAACAGGAUUAGAUACCCUGGUAGUCCACGCCCUAAACGAUGCUGACUAGUUGUUCGGGAUUUACAUCCUGAGUAACGUAGCUAACGCGUGAAGUCAGCCGCCUGGGGAGUACGGUCGCAAGAUUAAAACUCAAAGGAAUUGACGGGGACCCGCACAAGCGGUGGAUGAUGUGGAUUAAUUCGAUGC
rnacentral:rRNA from 1 species